GUGGGGAAUAUUGCGCAAUGGGGGAAACCCUGACGCAGCGACGCCGUGUGAGGGAAGAAGGCUUUCGGGUCGUAAACCUCUGUCAGAAAGGAAGAACCUCCCAAGUCCGAAUAGGGCUUGGGACUGACGGUACUUUCAAAGGAAGCACCGGCUAACUCCGUGCCAGCAGCCGCGGUAAUACGGAGGGUGCAAGCGUUAAUCGGAAUCACUGGGCGUAAAGCGCGCGUAGGCCGCUUUGUAAGUCGGACGUGAAAGCCCUCGGCUCCACCGGGGAACUGCGUUCGAUACUGCGAGGCUUGAGUCCUGGAGAGGGUGGCGGAAUUCCGGGUGUAGGAGUGAAAUCCGUAGAUAUCCGGAGGAACACCGGUGGCGAAGGCGGCCACCUGGACAGGUACUGACGCUGAGGCGCGAAAGCGUGGGGAGCAAACAGGAUUAGAAACCCGAGUAGUCC
rnacentral:rRNA from 1 species